rnacentral:rRNA from 1 species
UCGGGAAUAUUGCGCAAUGGAGGAAACUCUGACGCAGUGACGCCGCGUAUAGGAUGAAGGUUUUCGGAUUGUAAACUAUUGUCAACAGGGAAGAAAAAGACAGUACCUGAAGAGGAAGCCCCGGCUAACUAUGUGCCAGCAGCCGCGGUAAUACAUGGGGGGCGAGCGUUAUCCGGAUUUAUUGGGUGUAAAGGGUGCGUAGACGGGAAGGCAAGUUAGUUGUGAAAUCCCUCGGCUUAACUGAGGAACUGCAACUAAAACUAUCUUUCUUGAGUGCGGGAGAGGAAAGUGGAAUUCCUAGUGUAGCGGUGAAAUGCGUAGAUAUUAGGAGGAACACCAGUGGCGAAGGCGACUUUCUGGACCGUAACUGACGUUGAGGCACGAAAGUGUGGGGAGCAAACAGGAUUAGAUACCCUGGUAGU